GAAAUGCGAUAAGUAGUGUGAAUUGCAGAAUUCAGUGAAUCAUCGAAUCUUUGAACGCACAUUGCGCCCCUUGGUAUUCCAUGGGGCAUGCCUGUUCGAGCGUCAUUUGUACCCUCAAGCUCUACUUGGUGUUGGGUGUUUGUCCCGUCUCCGCGCGUGGACUCGCCCCAAAGUGAUUGGCAGCCGGCGUACUGGUCCCGGAGCGCAGCACAUGUCGCGCAAACGAGUGCCUUGGUACGGCGGCGUCCAUAAGCCCCUCUCUCACGCUCUUGACCUCGGAUCAGGUAGGGAUACCCGCUGAACUUAAGC
rnacentral:misc_RNA from 1 species